rnacentral:rRNA from 1 species
UAACCUAAGAGUUUGAUCCUGGCUCAGAACGAACGCUGGCGGCAUGCCUAACACAUGCAAGUCGAACGCUAUCUUUGAUAGAGUGGCGCACGGGUGAGUAACGCGUGGGAACCUGCCUUUCUCUGCGGGACAACGGUUGGAAACGGCCGCUAAUACCGCAUACGCCCUACGGGGGAAAGGUCAGCCGGAGAAAGAGGGGCCCGCGUUUGAUUAGCUUGUUGGUGGGGUAAUGGCCUACCAAGGCGACGAUCAAUAGCUGGUCUGAGAGGAUGAUCAGCCACACUGGGACUGAGACACGGCCCAGACUCCUACGGGAGGCAGCAGUGGGGAAUAUUGGAC